rnacentral:rRNA from 1 species
GACAGAGGUCCCGAGCGUUAGGCGGAAUCACUGGGCUUAAAGCGUGUGUAGGCGGAUUUGUAAGUACCUUGUGAAAUCCCACGGCUCAACCGUGGAACUGCUUGGUAUACUGCUUAAUCUUGGGCCAUCUAGGGGCUACCGGGAACAAGUGGUGGAGCGGUGAAAUGCGUAGAUAUCAGGAGGAACACCGGUGGCGAAGGCGGGUCUCUGGGCCGAUACUGACGCUGAGGAGCGAAAGCGUGGGGAGCGAACAGG